GAAGAUUAUUUCUCUGUGGGCAGUGUUUUGAGAUUGGAAAGAAAAUCUCUCAGUACGAUGGGACAUUCUGAAGCCCCAGUGCACACAAGAAAGGCAGAGACAUUAACAGAUUGUCGUGGCUGACCUGAGAGCAUGAGAUGCUUCCAGUGAUGACACCUGAUGACACAUAAAGAGAGCAGCCUAGAGCCACUGACUGGAACCACUAUGCCACUCCUGGAGAUUGGAUGAGACCAUCUGAGGAGCCACUGGCACAUCUGGGCCCUAGCUGACCACCUACAGUAUAUCAGGUAUAGUACCAGCCCAGAUGCUUAAGAAGAUGGCUGUGAGGUCCUGCUGAUAAUGACUGGAACAUCUAUGAUCAUCAUUUCUUUUCCAAAAAAAGGCAUCUCCAGACGGGGCAUCAACGUCACAGCUAGUCAGCAGGUUUGUGAAAUAUUUACUGCGGAUGAUGGUUCAUGAAGAAUACAUGAGGACAGUGGAGCAGUGCUUUACGGCCUCGUUGCUGUGCGAACCCCUGCCAGGAAGGACUGCUGCUCGCUCGGCUGACAAAGUUUUCACAGGGAUACCUGGCAUGAAGAGGUACGAGACAAAUUGUACCAUAAUUCCAGGGAUUUUUAUUCAGUUAUACUAAAAGAUAAGAAAAUGUACUCAUAUAUUUGCAUGGGGAAAACAUAUUUUUAUUUUUGGUGUGUAUACUGAAACACAACUUUGUCCAGAUUUCAGAUGCGUAAUGAAUGUUACAUCCA